GUGGACUUCCGCUCCCAGCGCCAGAGGCCUGGGCAGUCGGCCUCAGCAAUGAGCGGCGGCGGCUGCGGGGAGCUGGGGGCGCGCGAGGAGGCGGGGACACGGUGGGACCUGCAGCGCCGGCGGCAGGGAGAAGGCUCCGUGGGCAGUGCCCACCAGGGGGAAUCUGGACGUCUGUGCCACUGAUUCGGGGACUGCACAAGCGGGGAGCUCGGUGCACCCCCCCGCCCCGCGGCCUGAGCGCCUGGCGGCCCAGCUGAGUGGAGACCCUGGUUGGCAAAAUUUGCAUAAUGUGGCGAUAUCAAGUUCGAGUGGGGCUAUAAGCAAAAUGACCCUUGUCAUCUGCAGACGGAGUUUGUGUGGGGGUCUGGGCGCCUGGAGACUCACGGAGGAGCAGCACGUGACCCUGAACAUGUUCCUGUCCUGUGUGCCAGGGAUCUCCCCUCCGGCAGGACCAGCAUCCACUCCCAGGUCCCAACACCAGUAGUCGCUUAAGUACCGGACAAAAAGUCCCCGGAAGAAGUCUAUGAGCAGGACGCUGGCCACGGUGAAGAGCAUGUCGAUGAUGGAAAGCUUCAGCAUCUCCUGGGACACAGAGCGUCCUAAUGCCACCACGCCCUGCUCGCCCCGUCCACCCCUUCCUGAGCCCCCCCCCCCCCCCNAAUUCCACGGGCCCACCCCGGAGCCUUCAUGUCUGGCACAUCACGGGGGCUCAAUACAUAUCUGUUAAUUGGAGUUGAAUUUCAUUGUCUGAGGCCAACUUUACACGAAACCAGGAGAGAGCCUGAGCCACCAGAGAGCACUUGGGGUCAGUGGUUCAGGUUCGCGGGACAAUACCCCAGGGCUGAGAUUCUCUGCACAGGAUCCCGUGUAGAAGGCAGGAGGCAGAGCCGUUCAGAACACAGGGUCUGGAGCAGAAGCCUGGGCUCAGACCUUCCUUCUGCUCCUACCACCUGUGUCCUGGGGCAACUUACUUCCCCUCGUGAGCCUCAGUUUCCCCAUUUGUGCCUAUGGGGAGGAUACUAGGAUUCUCUUAAGGACUAAGUAAGCCCUUAACAACAGGGCGGGCAGGGGCACCUGGGUGGCUCGUUCGUCUGACUCCUGAUUUCGGCUCGGGUCGUGAUCUCAGGGUUCCAGGAUCGAGCCCUAUGUUGGGCUUCACACUCGGCACAGAGCCGGCUUGGGAUUCUCCUCACUCUGCCUCUGUCCCCGCUUGCAUUCUCUUUCUCCCUCUUUCCCUCUAAAAUAAAUAAAUCUUCAAAAACAAACGAAACAGGGCCAGCACAUAGUUCACACUGCGUGAGUCCUUGUGCUGAUUGUUACUCUUAAUUGGAGAAAAUCAUAAACCCUCACUGAACCUUAUUUCCCUUUUCUGUUAAACAGAGAUGAUGCCAAUCCAGAAUUACAUGGCGUGAUGGUGGGCGUGAGGAGGGGCUUAGAGGGCAGAACGGGAGCCACCUGCCCGACGUAUGUCUCCCAGCACUGGUCUUGUGGACGCUGGGUGUAGACGGUGGUCUUGUUGGCCUCUGAGAGGGGCAAGGUGUAAGCUGGGAUGCUGGUCUCUUCUGGGGCCCAUGUGCUGUUUCUUGGGAGCCCUGUCCCCGGCCCAGGUGUGGACCAUUUCUCUUCUUCGGGGGCCAUCCUAGUGGCAGAGAAGAUGGUAGGAUCUAUCCAGUGGCUUGUGUUAUUUUUGGUAGCAGCUUCCUGUGCAGGGAGGGAAGGAAGAAAAAGAGAUUGUCCACAUAUUUGUAAAUAUGCAUCAUAGACACCAAGGAUAUUGCUGCAUUGCCUGGGGAUAAUCUCUCGGUCUCUCUCCCUUUCUCUCUUUCUCACCAUAUCCCUGGCUCUCUGUCUCCAUCUGUCUCUCCUGUCUUCCUAGCUCUAGCUCGGUGGAUGGCCCCUUCGCACUGGCCCUGAUGAACACGGGGUCAUAAUGGACGGGAGCUGUUGGUCCUUAGUGUCGGAGACUGCCCCGGGCUAACACCUGCUGAUCUUCUCGCCCUUACGAGGGCGUCAGGGCAGACUCAUCAUCCCUUGUUACAAACGAGGAGCUUGAAGCUCAGCCCCAGGUCGGUCUGCCAGCAAGCGGCGGGUAAGGACCCAAUCCAUGCGACACAGAGGCUCGGACGCAGAGCUGCUCGUGUCCACGGCCUCUUCUGCCCCCUGAGCAGAAGGUGAUGGUCUGGUGUGGGACGGCGGCGUGGGCCAACACCCCUAGGAACCCUCCAGCUCCUCCCCACCUGCCCCUCCCCUGCCGUGCGGGAUGCCUUGGCAGGUGGGGCAGCUUUCCCAUGGGCUCCAAAGCUACCCUAGGAGGGGAGCGGAAACUCCUGUGGGGUGGGAUGGGGGACCCACUCUGAGCUGUUCCCCACGAGUGCUCGUUUUCUCCCAAUUUGCUAAAUGACUCCCCCAGCCUGCCUCCCUUGCUCAGAUCACUCGUAAUCGCUGUGGAUAGCUCAUCCUGAUGGAGCUCCCAGAAAUGGGGUGGUGCCUUCCCUGAGAGCUGUACUCCAAAGACCCGGGUUCUCCCCCAGCAGGGUUAGUCCGUCGCCCUAAACCCUGGCCUUGCUUUCUUUACCUUCGAAGUGGGGCUAAAUCUUCUCUUUACCUCAAGAUGACCACAGCUGAGUUGAGUUUUGAACGUGAUGUAUAGAGUGCAAGUAUCAGCAGUGAGGACGUCCACAGGGAUGGCCCUGGUGUGUGCGUGUGUGCGUGCACGCACGUGUGUGUGCACGUGCAUGUGUAUAUGCGUGUGCGGCCGCGGGGCUGGGGAGGGGCCUCCGCUCACCUCGGUGCUCAUGCUGUUGACUUUGUCCAGGAGCGCGAUGAUCAGGCUGUAGAGGUUUCCCAGGUACAGCACAAGGACCCUGAAAGCACAAGGACCCUGAAAGCACACGGCCGCCUCAACAGACCAGACCGCGCGGGGGGCCCGUGGCCAGACGUGCCAUCAGUCAGGAGGGACUCUCAUGGUCCUAAUAAGCCAGCGGCGGCCCCACUAGGUUUCCUUCAGAAUCAUGGAGGGGGGGCGCCUGGGUGGCACAGCGGUUAAGCGUCUGCCUUCGGCUCGGGGAGUGAUCCCGGCGUUCUGGGA